rnacentral:rRNA from 1 species
GCUCACACCGGUUUAAACUCAGAUCAUGUAAAAUUUCAAAGGUCGAACAGACCUAUCUUACCAGCUACUGCACCGAUAAUUAAUUUUAAUCCAACAUCGAGGUCGCAAUCUUUUCUUUCGAUAAGAACUCUGAGAAAAAUUACGCUGUUAUCCCUAAGGUAAUUUAUUCUUCUAAUCUAAACUACAGGAUCAUAUACUUACAUAUUAAUAUAAAAAUACAGAAAAGUUAAUUAAAUUUUCCCAUCACCCCAACAAAAUAAACCCAAACUAACUCAAAUCAUACAACCUAAAACUUAAAUAAAAUCCUGCUUAUUAAACUCUAUAGGGUCUUCUCGUCUUCUACAAAAAUUUAAGCUUUUUCACUUAAAAAUAAAAUUUUAAUAAAUUUCUCUAGAGACAGCUACUUUUUCAUCAAACCUUUCAUUCAAGCUUUCAAUUAAAAAACUAGUGACUAUGCUACCUUUGCACGGUCAAAAUACCGCGGCCAUUUAAUUAACUCAGUGGGCAGGUCAAACUUGAAAUCAUA